GAUGAACGCUGGCGGCGUGCCUAAUACAUGCAAGUCGAGCGAACAGAUGAGGAGCUUGCUCCUCUGACGUUAGCGGCGGACGGGUGAGUAACACGUGGAUAACCUACCUAUAAGACUGGGAUAACUUCGGGAAACCGGAGCUAAUACCGGAUAAUAUAUUGAACCGCAUGGUUCAAUAGUGAAAGACGGUUUUGCUGUCACUUAUAGAUGGAUCCGCGCCGCAUUAGCUAGUUGGUAAGGUAACGGCUUACCAAGGCGACGAUGCGUAGCCGACCUGAGAGGGUGAUCGGCCACACUGGAACUGAGACACGGUCCAGACUCCUACGGGAGGCAGCAGUAGGGAAUCUUCCGCAAUGGGCGAAAGCCUGACGGAGCAACGCCGCGUGAGUGAUGAAGGUCUUCGGAUCGUAAAACUCUGUUAUUAGGGAAGAACAAUUUGUAAGUAACUAUGCACGUCUUGACGGUACCUAAUCAGAAAGCCACGGCUAACUACGUG
rnacentral:rRNA from 1 species